rnacentral:snRNA from 1 species
AUCUUUGCGCUUGGUGCAAUGACACAGCUAGUGAGGUUAUACCGAGUCAUGUCAAAUGCUGGUUGAAAACUAUUUCAAGACCCCUUCCUCGGCUUUUCGUGAAUGCAUGGGCCAUUGAGAAUUUCUAGAAAGGCUCACUCUAAACAAGGGUAAAUUAAAGCC